rnacentral:rRNA from 1 species
ACGUAGGGUGCAAGCGUUGUUCGGAAUUACUGGGCGUAAAGGGCGCGUAGGCGGUUGUGUAAGUCAGAUGUGAAAUCCCCAGGCUCAACCUGGGAACUGCAUCUGAUACUGCAUGACUUGAGUGCAGCAGAGGGGAACGGAAUUCCUCGUGUAGCGGUGAAAUGCGUAGAGAUGAGGAGGAACACCGGUGGCGAAGGCGGUUUCCUGGGCUGAAACUGACACUGAGGCGCGAAAGCGUGGGUAGCGAACAG